rnacentral:rRNA from 1 species
UAGGGAAUCUUCGGCAAUGGGGGGAACCCUGACCGAGCAACGCCGCGUGAGUGAAGAAGGUUUUCGGAUCGUAAAGCUCUGUUGUUAAGGAAGAACGAGUGUGAGAAUGGAAAGUUCAUACUGUGACGGUACUUAACCAGAAAGGGACGGCUAACUACGUGCCAGCAGCCGCGGUAAUACGUAGGUCCCGAGCGUUGUCCGGAUUUAUUGGGCGUAAAGCGAGCGCAGGCGGUUAGAUAAGUCUGAAGUUAAAGGCAGUGGCUCAACCAUUGUAGGCUUUGGAAACUGUUUAACUUGAGUGCAGAAGAGGAGAGUGGAAUUCCAUGUGUAGCGGUGAAAUGCGUAGAUAUAUGGAGGAACACCGGUGGCGAAAGCGGCUAUCUGGUCUGUAACUGACGAUGAGGCUCGAAAGCGUGGGGAGCGAACAGG